UUUGCCGGAGGUGGGAAAAUUCGUUGCACCCACGCACCCUAUGGGUUAAAGGAGAUGGAGCAGAUUGCGACGGCUUCCCGGCAGA
rnacentral:ncRNA from 12 species